rnacentral:rRNA from 1 species
UACAGAGGUCCCAAGCGUUGUUCGGAUUCACUGGGCGUAAAGGGUGCGUAGGCGGUCGGGUAAGUCUGACGUGAAAUCUUCAAGCUUAACUUGGAAACUGCGUCGGAUACUAUUCGGCUAGAGGAAUGGAGGGGAGACUGGAAUACUUGGUGUAGCAGUGAAAUGCGUAGAUAUUAAGUGGAACACCAGUGGCGAAGGCGAGUCUCUGGACAUUUCCUGACGCUGAGGCACGAAAGCCAGGGGAGCAAACGGG